AAUUUCUAUUCCGUCGUCGACUUUGUUUUGGUCUUUCAGCGAGGUUACACGCGCGUCCGCGCGAUUGAGAUCCAACGGUGCGCAUCAAAGUCCCAACCCGCAGCCUAUUUUGUGUGUACGUUUUGCCGGGUACGCGUAGUGAGGAGCUGUGAUCUGACUUUUCCCCACCUCCUACCGCUGAUACUGGCUUGGAGGAUUGGAGAGAGCGAGGCAUACCUGUUCCCCAUUUCAGACGAUUUGCUCGAUUUCACCGGCGAUUCGCGACGCCGGCAGGAGAUUCGUCAGCGCCGACUGAUUCCUCGCGGAGGGGGCUGCUUCCUCGCGCCGGUGGCCGCUUCCUCCCGCGGGCAAAGCUUCCUCGCGACGGCGAAGCAUCCUUGCGCGGGCACGCGCCGGUGGCUCCUUCGCCGUGUUGACGGCCGCUUUCCAGCAUUGUACGGCUACAUGCCCACUCAACCUGCUAAAUCGGCCUCGUCUCCAGUUACAUCCACUGUAAGAAUUAACAUAGUAUUUACAUCGUUGUGCCACAUCCUCAUGGGCGGCGGCAACAUCCUCUUCGCGGGCACGUCGUCACAGCAGCAGCCAAAACUUCAGCGUCACCGGUCACAUUCCUACGGGGUCGGCUACAUCCCAGUGUCUCCUGAUACAUCCAACUGUAAGGCAAUCACAUUUCUAUCCUGAAGUCGCUUGAUGUAGUAGUUUGAGUAUUCUCAGUGUUCAGGCUAGUGUUCGGCUGAUCGAUGUACUUGUGUUGAUAUGUUAGUAGCACAAAUUAGUUACAGUAGUGGAAAAGUACCAUCUAGUAAUAAAAUUGACAGGAGAUGUGUUACAUCUCUUGUCAUGAUUCCUACAUGUAACUGAUUUAUAUCCUACAAAAAAAUUGACAUUUGCUACAUCCGCGGGCUAGAAAAAGGGGCAAAUACAAGCUGGCCAAGAAAAGGGAACAGAGCUUCAUCGCCAAUAAACACACUGCUGUCCCAAGAGUACUACUAACAUACUACUGUUGUCUUUUUCAAUCAUGCAUGCCCCAUUUUUUUUUUUACUAGAUGUUGCUCUUCCUCUACUUUUUAAGAAACGUUCCAUUUUUCUUUAUAGGAUGUGAUCUGAAAUUUUAGAUGUACCUGCACGCUCAUGUUUAUAAGCAAUGAAAGUAGAUGUAGCACAUAUUUCAGAUCAGAGACCAUCAGGAUUAGAUGUUCAGAUUUUACUUGCUCAGCUAUGAAUCCAUGCAUGUAUCAUACUCAAGAACAGCAAGGUGCAACUGGUAAGAUUUGUUAGAGAAGAAGGUGCGGUGGGGAAAAACUUAUAGGUGGUCUGUGUCCCUGUGUCCCGAUGGAGGAGGAUGAUUUUUUGCUGGGAUGAGAUUGAGAUGUAACUGCUCGAAAUUAUGUGUUCUUCUUGUUUACUUCUCUUUUGUUUGUUUUGAGAUCCUGAUGUAACACGUCGGUGACUCGGUGUUGUUUCUGUUGUUCGGGUUUAGAUCCAGAUGUAACUGGAUGGAGGAUUUGA